rnacentral:rRNA from 1 species
GACGAACGCUGGCGGCGUGCUUAACACAUGCAAGUCGAACGGUAAGGCCCUUCGGGGUACACGAGUGGCGAACGGGUGAGUAACACGUGGGUGAUCUGCCCUGCACUUCGGGAUAAGCCUGGGAAACUGGGUCUAAUACCGGAUAGGACCACUGCCUGCAUGGGUGGUGGUGGAAAGCUUUUGCGGUGUGGGAUGGGCCCGCGGCCUAUCAGCUUGUUGGUGGGGUGAUGGCCUACCAAGGCGACGACGGGUAGCCGGCCUGAGAGGGUGACCGGCCACACUGGGACUGAGAUACGGCCGAGACGCCUACGGGAGGCAGCAGUGGGGAAUAUUGCACAAUGGGCGCAAGCCUGAUGCAGCGACGCCGCGUGAGGGAUGACGGCAUUCGGGUUGUAAACCUCUUUCAGCACCGACGAAGCGCAAGUGACGGUAGGUGCAGAAGAAGGACCGGCCAACUACGUGCCAGCAGCCGCCGUAA